GGCUGCAGGCUCCCAGCAAGCAGCUGGAAUCCCCAAGUCCCAGACGCAACAGCCAGUUUUUGUUGGCUCCAGG